GGUCUGUAUCACCAGAGCAAUACACAAGCUGAUGUGAUUUGGACUUCCAGAAUGGGGUGAUUAGUAUAGCACUUUUUUGGGUGGUGUUCAGUGUUUUCUAUAACAAUGCUUCCCCUCUUACCAACAGUACUGGAAACACAGCCAGAUCUGGAUUUGUCAACCUGGGAACACCAUAAAACUUUUAGUCUCUCACUCUAGCUCAGUUUAAUGGGACAAUCUGCAUUGCCAAUUUGUUUCCCAGGCCGAUAGUGUAUGGUGAAAUAUGGCUGGAAGGCCAGACUUGAUUGUUGAAAUCUGCCAUUAUCUCCAGCCACCCAGUUAAAGCAUAAAAGGGGAUUAUGGUCGGUGAGAAGAAUAAAAUAUCUUCCAUACUGGUAGGGCUGUAGCUUCUUGAGGGCCAGUCCAAGGUGUGGCAUAG